AGACCCGAAACCCGGUGAUCUAGCCAUGGGCAGGUUGAAGGUUGGGUAACACUAACUGGAGGACCGAACCGACUAAUGUUGAAAAAUUAGCGGAUGACCUGUGGCUGGGGGUGAAAGGCCAAUCAAACCGGGAGAUAGCUGGUUCUCCCCGAAAGCUAUUUAGGUAGCGCCUCGUGAAUUCAUCUCCGGGGGUAGAGCACUGUUUCGGCUAGGGGGCCAUCCCGGCUUACCAACCCGAUGCAAACUGCGAAUACCGGAGAAUGUUAUCACGGGAGACACACGGCGGGUGCUAACGUCCGUCGUGAAGAGGGAAACAACCCAGACCGCCAGCUAAGGUCCCAAAGUCAUGGUUAAGUGGGAAACGAUGUGGGAAGGCCCAGACAGCCAGGAUGUUGGCUUAGAAGCAGCCAUCAUUUAAAGAAAGCGUAAUAGCUCACUGGUCGAGUCGGCCUGCGCGGAAGAUGUAACGGGGCUAAACCAUGCACCGAAGCUGCGGCAGCGACGCUGAUGCGUUGUUGGGUAGGGGAGCGUUCUGUAAGCCUGCGAAGGUGGCCUGUGAGGGUUGCUGGAGGUAUCAGAAGUGCGAAUGCUGACAUAAGUAACGAUAAAGCGGGUGAAAAGCCCGCUCGCCGGAAGACCAAGGGUUCCUGUCCAACGUUAAUCGGGGCAGGGUGAGUCGACCCCUAAGGCGAGGCCGAAAGGCGUAGUCGAUGGGAAACGGGUUAAUAUUCCCGUACUUGGUGUUACUGCGAAGGGGGGACGGAGAAGGCUAUGUUGGCCGGGCGACGGUUGUCCCGGUUUAAGCGUGUAGGUGUGUGUUCCAGGUAAAUCCGGUUCACUUUAACACUGAGGCGUGAUGACGAGGCACUACGGUGCUGAAGCAACAAAUGCCCUGCUUCCAGGAAAAGCCUCUAAGCAUCAGGUAACAUCAAAUCGUACCCCAAACCGACACAGGUGGUCAGGUAGAGAAUACCAAGGCGCUUGAGAGAACUCGGGUGAAGGAACUAGGCAAAAUGGUGCCGUAACUUCGGGAGAAGGCACGCUGACACGUAGGUGAAGUGAUUUACUCAUGGAGCUGAAGUCAGUCGAAGAUACCAGCUGGCUGCAACUGUUUAUUAAAAACACAGCACUGUGCAAACACGAAAGUGGACGUAUACGGUGUGACGCCUGCCCGGUGCCGGAAGGUUAAUUGAUGGGGUCAGCGCAAGCGAAGCUCCUGAUCGAAGCCCCGGUAAACGGCGGCCGUAACUAUAACGGUCCUAAGGUAGCGAAAUUCCUUGUCGGGUAAGUUCCGACCUGCACGAAUGGCGUAAUGAUGGCCAGGCUGUCUCCACCCGAGACUCAGUGAAAUUGAACUCGCUGUGAAGAUGCAGUGUACCCGCGGCAAGACGGAAAGACCCCGUGAACCUUUACUAUAGCUUGACACUGAACAUUGAGCCUUGAUGUGUAGGAUAGGUGGGAGGCUUUGAAGUGUGGACGCCAGUCUGCAUGGAGCCGACCUUGAAAUACCACCCUUUAAUGUUUGAUGUUCUAACGUGGACCCGUGAUCCGGGUUGCGGACAGUGUCUGGUGGGUAGUUUGACUGGGGCGGUCUCCUCCUAAAGAGUAACGGAGGAGCACGAAGGUUGGCUAAUCCUGGUCGGACAUCAGGAGGUUAGUGCAAUGGCAUAAGCCAGCUUGACUGCGAGCGUGACGGCGCGAGCAGGUGCGAAAGCAGGUCAUAGUGAUCCGGUGGUUCUGAAUGGAAGGGCCAUCGCUCAACGGAUAAAAGGUACUCCGGGGAUAACAGGCUGAUACCGCCCAAGAGUUCAUAUCGACGGCGGUGUUUGGCACCUCGAUGUCGGCUCAUCACAUCCUGGGGCUGAAGUAGGUCCCAAGGGUAUGGCUGUUCGCCAUUUAAAGUGGUACGCGAGCUGGGUUUAGAACGUCGUGAGACAGUUCGGUCCCUAUCUGCCGUGGGCGCUGGAGAACUGAGGGGGGCUGCUCCUAGUACGAGAGGACCGGAGUGGACGCAUCACUGGUGUUCGGGUUGUCAUGCCAAUGGCACUGCCCGGUAGCUAAAUGCGGAAGAGAUAAGUGCUGAAAGCAUCUAAGCACGAAACUU
rnacentral:rRNA from 1 species